UAAAGAAUUUCGGUAUGGGAUGGGGAUGCGUUCCAUUAGUUAGUUGGCGGGGUAACGGCCCACCAAGACAACGAUGGAUAGGGGUUCUGAGAGGAAGGUCCCCCACAUUGGAACUGAGACACGGUCCAAACUCCUACGGGAGGCAGCAGUGAGGAAUAUUGGUCAAUGGACGAGAGUCUGAACCAGCCAAGUAGCGUGAAGGAUGACUGCCCUAUGGGUUGUAAACUUCUUUUAUAUGGGAAUAAAACGCUCCACGCGUGGGAUUUUGUAUGUACCAUAUGAAUAAGGAUCGGCUAACUCCGUGCCAGCAGCCGCGGUAAUACGGAGGAUCCGAGCGUUAUCCGGAUUUAUUGGGUUUAAAGGGAGCGUAGGUGGAUUGUUAAGUCAGUUGUGAAAGUUUGCGGCUCAACCGUAAAAUUGCAGUUGAAACUGGCAGUCUUGAGUACAGUAGAGGUGGGCGGAAUUCGUGGUGUAGCGGUGAAAUGCUUAGAUAUCACGAAGAACUCCGAUUGCGAAGGCAGCUCACUGGACUGCAACUGACACUGAGGCUCGAAAGUGUGGGUAUCAAACAGGAUUAGAUACCCUGGUAGUCCACACAGUAAACGAUGAAUACUCGCUGUUUGCGAUAUAC
rnacentral:rRNA from 1 species